CAUUUAGUGUAUGAAAAGCUCCAUUUAAUUAGCGAGUCGAGGUUUAAAAUGAAAACAAAGAUGAAGAUACUGGAAGUUAUGGACAGAAUAAUUGGACCAUACAAUGGAGUAAAAGCAGGAGAUUUGGCGACCAUUUCUAAACAUUUUUUCGUUAUCUUUAUAUUGGAAAAUGCAUCAACUUUAAUGCUUAUAACAGUCAACACAAGAUCACUCUUGGAGUGAAAUAUUGGUAAUGGCAUAGUAUUAAUAAUACGAAAAAUAAUGGAAAGUGAUAAAGUGAAUAGAGAAAUUUGAUGAAUGUCUUUCAUUAACUUUAAUUUAUCAGUCAUUGAAUAAUCAUCUUGUAAAUAAAAAUAUGAA